GAUGAUGAUGAAGAUGAAGAAGUUUUGCGAUUAAUGGCCGACCCUACGAGCUUGACAACAGCUUGACGACCCAUCGUAUUGCUUCGAUUUGCUUCUCUUUUCGGCGCAGCCGCCUUCUUCAGAGUAUCACGAGCUCGGAAUUAUAUUUCCUCCUUCUCGCUCGCCUCCUCUCCCGCUCUCUCUUUCCUUUCCCUUUUACUUUUUUUCCUUUUCUUUUUCCAAUGAGCAAAGUAUAUGCAUUUGAAUACGAACUUGAUAUUGAUCAGAUGGAAAAAGCAUCAAUCAGUAAAAAUUAAAAACUAAAAAUCACUAUUGCCAAGAG
rnacentral:misc_RNA from 1 species